GCGGACGUGGCGAAAUUUAGAAGACGCUGUGGCCUCAGGAGCCACUGGGGUUUUCCCCUUGUGGGUGCAAAUCCCACCGUCCGCACAA
rnacentral:tRNA from 1 species